ACAAUUCUCAAAGGUAUCAGGCCUUCAAGCAAAUUUAGAUAAAAGUUCUUUAUAUAUAGCAGGUGUUUCAAGGGAAUUCAGAGAGAAAUUUCUCGCAGAACUUCACCUAGCAGAGGGCAAUUUUCCUUUCAAAUACCUAGGAGUAACCUUAUCUACAAGAAAGAUCACAAUUGCACAAUGGAUGCCUCUAGUAGAGAAGAUAGUGGACAGAAUUAGAAGUUGGACUUCCAAAUUCUUAUCUUAUGCUGGAA
rnacentral:lncRNA from 1 species